UUCGCAAUGCCCGAAAGGGUGACGAAGCGACGCCGCGUGCGGGAAGAGGGCCUUCGGGUUGUAAACCGCUGUCGGGAGUUAAGAAAUGUAAGGAUGUUAAUAGCAUCUUUGCUUGACUAAGGCUCCGGAGGAAGCCACGGCUAACUCUGUGCCAGCAGCCGCGGUAAUACAGAGGCGGCAGGCGUUGUUCGGAAUUAUUGGGCGUAAAGAGCACGUAGGCGGCUAUGUAAGUCGGUUGUGAAAGCCUUCCGCUCAACGGGAGAACAGCAUCCGAUACUGCAUGGCUUGAGUGCGGGAGGGGAGAGUGGAACUUCUGGUGGAGCGGUGAAAUGCGUAGAUAUCAGAAGGAACGCCGGCGGCGAAAGCGGCUCUCUGGCCCAUAACUGACGCUGAGUGUGCGAAAGCUAGGGGAGCAAACGGGAUUAGAUACCCCGGUAGUCCUAGCCGUAAACGAUGGGCACUAAGUAGAGGGGUUUU
rnacentral:rRNA from 1 species